rnacentral:sRNA from 1 species
GCAUGGGAUAGCCUUUCUCAUAUUUUUUUGUCAACUAUAUUUUAGCAAGACUAUCUCUUUAAAGCAAAAGGCAACGGCUGUUUUCUAGUCGUUGCUUUUUUUG